rnacentral:rRNA from 1 species
GUGAGGAAUAUUGGUCAAUGGGCGGGAGCCUGAACCAGCCAAGUCGCGUGAAGGAAGAAGGAUCUAUGGUUCGUAAACUUCUUUUGCAGGGGAAUAAAGUGCAGGACGUGUCCUGUUUUGUAUGUACCCUGAGAAUAAGGAUCGGCUAACUCCGUGCCAGCAGCCGCGGUAAUACGGAGGAUCCGAGCGUUAUCCGGAGUUAUUGGGUUUAAAGGGUGCGUAGGUGGUUUGAUAAGUCAGCGGUGAAAGUUUGCAGCUUAACUGUAAACAUGCCGUUGAAACUGUCGGACUUGAGUGUAAAUGAGGUAGGCGGAAUGCGUGGUGUAGCGGUGAAAUGCAUAGAUAUCACGCAGAACUCCGAUUGCGAAGGCAGCUUACUAAGCUACAACUGACACUGAAGCACGAAAGCGUGGGGAUCAAACAGGAUUAGAUACCCGAGUAGUCC